UUCUUUUCUUUUGCUUUUUGUUUCAUUUUUCAAAGAAGAGAAUGAAAAACAUAUAGAGAAUUAUAUAACAAACAUGUUUUGUCAAUAUCAUUUACCCACGACCCGUUCUUUCAGAUUCUCCCUCAUCAACUGCUACUGUGCAAGGAUUUCUUCUGCAAUGAAACUUCAUAAUAACUUCCUUAAAAGUGAGUUAACUUUACUACUGUCGAUAUUACAGUAUUUUUCUUUCAUUGCAACACGGUAAUGAAGUCACUCAAAUUAUUAUGAACGUUGUUCCAUAGUUUUUAUUACUUAAUAAGUAAAUUGUACUAUAUAAACUUUUCUUAUUCAACGUAACUGAGGUCUGAGGAUAAUAUCUUGAACCUUCAAAAUUAUAUUUUCUUUUUCAACUAUGGUUAGUACUCUGAUUCAACAAAUCAAUAGGGCGUAGAAGAAGUACUAUUACAAAAUAUUGGAAGUUUAAAGUACAAGCCAAUUACUUUACCAAUCACGGUUUGUUGUACAGAAAAAGAAAGUUUCACUUCCAUAUUGCAAUUCAUGUGGUUUCAAGACUUCGUACACAAGGUACCGAUUAGAUUUUCAUUCGUUUUUUCUUUAUUUUCUACUGUAAUUUUAUUGACAAAAAUAAUGACAAUAUCGAUUUGUUACAAAAAUGAUUUGCCAGUUAUCAAGUCAGACGAUAACAUGGAGAAAGAAGAUGAAGAAACACACGACGUGGUUAGACCAAAUCAGAAAAUAUUCUAGCUUUUCCUUUUUAUACUUGAGCUUAAAGCUCUAUGCACUUAUUUGCUCAAGGCUGCACAUUAUUGAAGACCUAAAAUGAAGAGAGGCAUUAAAUCCAAACAAAUUUCAAUUAUAUAUUUUUUUUAUAUCUAUCUUUCUAAACUCUUUUUAGAUGCAAUAAUUAUUACUUAGUAACUUUUUAUAAUUAAUUAUAUCAAAUAUUUUUUUCAAUUCUUAAUUUUAGCUGGUAUUUUAUCAAUUUAAAUGUUGAAACACGGC
rnacentral:lncRNA from 1 species